AAUCCAUAGGUUAAUGAGGCGAACCGGGGGAACUGAAACAUCUAAGUACCCCGAGGAAAAGAAAUCAACCGAGAUUCCCCCAGUAGCGGCGAGCGAACGGGGAGGAGCCCAGAGCCUGAAUCAGCAUGUGUGUUAGUGGAAGCGUCUGGAAAGGCGCGCGAUACAGGGUGACAGCCCCGUACACAAAAGCGCAUGUGUUGUGAGCUCGAUGAGUAGGGCGGGACACGUGGUAUCCUGUCUGAAUAUGGGGGGACCAUCCUCCAAGGCUAAAUACUCCUGACUGACCGAUAGUGAACCAGUACCGUGAGGGAAAGGCGAAAAGAACCCCGGCGAGGGGAGUGAAAAAGAACCUGAAACCGUGUACGUACAAGCAGUGGGAGCACAGGUUUACCUGUGUGACUGCGUACCUUUUGUAUAAUGGGUCAGCGACUUAUAUUCUGUAGCAAGGUUAACCGUAUAGGGGAGCCGGAGGGAAACCGAGUCUUAAUUGGGCGUUAAGUUGCAGGGUAUAGACCCGAAACCCGGUGAUCUAGCCAUGGGCAGGUUGAAGGUUGGGUAACACUAACUGGAGGACCGAACCGACUAAUGUUGAAAAAUUAGCGGAUGACCUGUGGCUGGGGGUGAAAGGCCAAUCAAACCGGGAGAUAGCUGGUUCUCCCCGAAAGCUAUUUAGGUAGCGCCUCGUGAAUUCAUCUCCGGGGGUAGAGCACUGUUUCGGCUAGGGGGCCAUCCCGGCUUACCAACCCGAUGCAAACUGCGAAUACCGGAGAAUGUUAUCACGGGAGACACACGGCGGGUGCUAACGUCCGUCGUGAAGAGGGAAACAACCCAGACCGCCAGCUAAGGUCCCAAAGUCAUGGUUAAGUGGGAAACGAUGUGGGAAGGCCCAGACAGCCAGGAUGUUGGCUUAGAAGCAGCCAUCAUUUAAAGAAAGCGUAAUAGCUCACUGGUCGAGUCGGCCUGCGCGGAAGAUGUAACGGGGCUAAACCAUG
rnacentral:rRNA from 1 species